GAUGAAGAACGUAGCAAAAUGCGAUAAGUAAUGUGGAUUGCAGAAUUCAGUGAAUCAUCGAAUCUUUGAACGCACAUUGCGCCCGCCAGUAUUCUGGCGGGCAUGCCUGUUCGAGCGUCAUUUCAACCCUCAAGCACAGCUUGGUGUUGGGACUCGCGUUAAUUCGCGUUCCCCAAAUUGAUUGGCGGUCACGUCGAGCUUCCAUAGCGUAGUAGUAAAACCCUCGUUACUGGUAAUCGUCGCGGCCACGCCGUUAAACCCCAACUUCUGAAUGUUGACCUCGGAUCAGGUAGGAAUACCCGCUGAACUUAAGCAUAUCAAUAAGCGGAGGA
rnacentral:misc_RNA from 1 species